rnacentral:lncRNA from 1 species
GGGAAUGGGUUAACCUAGCUAUCUGUGUUAUAUACGGGGAAUGGGUUAAACCUAGCUAUCUGUGUUAUAUACGGGGAAUGGGUUAACCUAGCUAUCUGUGUUAUAUACGGGGAAUGGGUUAACCUAGCUAUCUGUGGUGUAUACGGGGAAUGGGUUAACCUAGCUAUCUGUGGUGUACACGGGGAAUGGGUUAACCUAGCUAUCUGUGUUGUAUACGGGGAAUGGGUUAACCUAGCUAUCUGUGUUGUAUACGGGGAAUAGGUUAACCUAGCUAUCUGUGUUGUAUAGGGGAAUGGGUUAACCUAGCUAUCUGUGUUGUAUACGGGGAAUGGGUUAACCUAGCUAUCUGUGUUGUAUACGGGGAAUGGGUUAACCUAGCUAUCUUUGUUGUAUACGGGGAAUGGGUUAACCUAGCUAUCUGGGUUGUAUACGGGGAAUGGGUUAACCUAGCUAUCUGUGGUGUAUAGGGGAAUGGGUUAACCUAGCUAUCUGUGUUGUAUAGGGGGAAUGGGUUAACCUAGCUAUCUGUGUUAUAUACGGGGAAUGGGUUAACCUAGCUAUCUGUGUUGUAUACGGGGAAUGGGUUAACCUAGCUAUCUGUGUUGUAUACAGGGAAUGGGUUAACCUAGCUAUCUGUGUUGUAUACAGGGAAUGGGUUAACCUAGCUAUCUGUGUUGUAUACCGGGAAUGGGUUAACCUAGCUAUCUGUGUUAUAUACGGGGAAUGGGUUAACCUAGCUAUCUGUGUUGUAUAGGGGGAAUGGGUUAACCUAGCUAUCUGUGUUGUAUAGGGGGAAUGGGUUAACCUAGCUAUCUGUGUUGUAUACGGGGGAAUGGGUUAACCUAGCUAUCUGUGUUGUAUAGGGGGAAUGGGUUAACCUAGCUAUCUGUGUUGUAUACAGGGAAUGGGUUAACCUAGCUCUCUGUGUUGUAUACGGGGAAUGGGUUAACCUAGCUAUCUGGGUUGUAUACGGGGAAUGGGUUAAGCAGGUUACACCGAUCCACACACACACACACACACACGUACGUACGCACGCACACACGCACACAGACAUUAACACACACACACACACACACACAAACACACACCCACAAGCAAACACACACACAGACAUGAACACAUACACGCACACAUACACACACACACAAACUCCACACACACAUUAAUUUUGCAGGAAAGUCAGCUUAAAAGCAUUUUGAAACCACCACUGGACUCUGAGAUGAGGUGACGUGUGUCGGGUCCCACUGACCGUCCUUAGCGUCCUAACCCUAACCCUAACCCUAACCCUAACCAUACUAAAGUGUCAAAUAAUGACGUCCAUGCAUUUCGACGUAUUCCCUGCUGACAGUUUGGGGUGGCUGUGCAGAGCGCUAAACACUCGGGACAACGUUUGCGAUUCACUUGUUCUAAUUUCCGGGAAAUCAUCUACGUAGAGGCACUCCUGCCGCGCCCC